ACGGGUGAGUAACACGUAAGAAUCUGCCCUAUAGUGAGGAAUACCCUUGAGAAAUUGAGGUUAAUACUGCAUAAGUCCCUUCGGGGAGAAAGACGUCUUUUAUGUCGUCGCUAUAGGAUGAGCUUGCGGACUAUCAGCUUGUUGGUGAGGUAAAGGCUCACCGAGGCUAUGACGGUUAACCGGCCUGAGAGGGUGUACGGUCACAUAGGCACUGAGAUACGGGCCUGACUCCUACGGGAGGCAGCAGUGGGGAAUAUUGCGCAAUGGGCGAAAGCCUGACGCAGCGACGCCGCGUGGAGGAUGAAGGUCUUAGGAUUGUAAACUCCUGUCAGAUGGGAAGAAAGGUUUACGUCUAAUAAAUGUAAAAUAUGACGGUACCAUCAGAGGAAGCACCGGCUAACUUCGUGCCAGCAGCCGCGGUAAUACGAAGGGUGCAAACGUUAUUCGGAAUCACUGGGCGUAAAGGGUGCGUAGAUGGUGUGUUAAGUUUGUUGUUAAAGGCUUCGGCCUAACUGAAGUAUUGCAAUGAAAACUGGCGCGCUAGAGGGUGAGAGAGAGAAGUGGAAUUCCUGGA
rnacentral:rRNA from 1 species